rnacentral:lncRNA from 1 species
AAAGCCUUUCAAAAAACAAGUAGUGUUAGCUUUCUCCGUAGAAAGUGGCCAAUGAUGGCCUUUGCGCACUGGAGCGCUUGGCCGUAGGCAGGUUGAGGUAACCUUCAGGGUUAUAAACUGCGCCCAGGACUGAAAAUCAGAAAUCGGCUGCGGAGUCAUUCAUCGCCCCAUUCUUAUUGCAACUCAGUUGCCUAUUUUCUUAUGGAGCCUGGGUUCGCUUCUGGCCGGUCUGGAGGGUGCCCCAGCUUACUGGACGUGCGCGCUCAGGUGCAGAACGUCCGAGCAGAAUCAAGCCGGUCUUUCAGCCGCUUGCAAGCGGGUGGUGACUUCGGGAAAUCAGUAGUUGCUCAGAGGCUGUUGAAAAGGCAGGACGCUCGGCUUUCGAAGGCAGGAUUCAGAAAAGAUGUCUUUCCCCUUAGGUUUGUCCCCUCCCACCAUUCUUUCUCCAAUCUACAUUCUCCCUAUGGUCUUUCCUUUAAACGUCUGGGUGUCAGGCGUCCUGAGAUGUCCGUGCUCUGCUGGGUUUUACUAGGUAUUUCACUAAACAGUGUGAGACGCGCUAUGUAACCGGCCCACGGAAAAUGCCUGCCACCCCCAACUGGGAAGCUUUGCUGUCUGAGCCCCAGUUGCCAAUCCAAG